AUCACUUCUAGGACUUUUAGCUAAGAUCAAGCACAGCAUUUGCUCUUAUCAGUUCAAUAUCUGAUAUGUCCUUUAUCCAAAAACAAUAUAUUAAAUAGAUUUUUUUGGAGUAGGGAGUUUGAAUAGGAGCUGGCUUCAUCCACUCCACUCAUGGACCUGGUAUUGAAAUACCUUCAGGAAUGGGGGAGAGAGG